rnacentral:rRNA from 1 species
UUGGAGGGCAAGUCUGGUGCCAGCAGCCGCGGUAAUUCCAACUCCAAUAGCGUAUAUUAAAGUUGUUGCAGUUAAAAAGCUCGUAGUUGAAUUUCGGGAUCAAUAUGCUGGUCGUGCCUUUGGUACGUACUGGUAUUAUUGGUUUCUCCUUUCUGAUGAAUCACGAUGUCAUUAAUUUGGUGUCAUGGGGAAUCAGGACUGUUACUUUGAAAAAAUUAGAGUGUUUAAAGCAGGCUUACGCUUGAAUACAUUAGCAUGGAAUAAUGAAAUAGGACGUUUAAUUCUAUUUUGUUGGUUUCUAGGAUUGACGUAAUGAUUAAUAGGGAUAGUUGGGGGCAUUAGUAUUCAAUUGUCAGAGGUGAAAUUCUUGGAUUUAUUGAAGACUAACUACUGCGAAAGCAUUUGCCAAGGAUGUUUUCAUUAAUCAAGAACGAAAGUUAGGGGAUCGAAGACGAUCAGAUACCGUCGUAGUCUUAACCAUAAACUAUGCCGACUAGGGAUCGGGUGAUGUUAAUUUAUGACUCAUUCGGCGCCUUACGGGAAAC